CCUGACACAGCCUGAGAGAGGAGUUGUCACUCGACCUUGGGGCACAUUCCAGAAUGAGGCCACAGCCAAAAAUAGGGCCCAGGAGCCUGCCACCUAUCCUGCCUGCAUUACUCACACCUCCCUGCAGGACUCUGCCUCCUUGGGGAGGUGGGAGGAGACAGAAUCAGGAAACGGAGUUGGGAAAAGGAGGGGACCCCAGUGAAGCUUCUGCAUGGCCUUGGGGUCGGACAGCACACCGCAGGCCCGGGCCCCAGGACCUGCCAGUGAAUUCGCCCAUCCUGAGCUCGGUGAGCUGGGCCCGCAGGCCUCCUGGCAGUGAUGCGGGCCUGAGGAACUGAGCCGCGUGCUCUGAGCGCCCUGGGGCUUGGGGACCGGGCCUCACCCUGAGGUCCCCUAGGGAGUCGCCGCUGGGCAGCCUGCCCUCCCGCCCCAUUUCGGUUUCCUCCACCUGCCUUGGUGCACCCGGCUGCCAUGAUGAGGCGAGGGGAUGAUGUACAAACCAGAACACCUGGGCUGCCUCUGCGGUCUUCAGAAAGUCACCUGACCCGCAGAGCUACAGGGAGCACCACCGUGAAGGAGGCUCGGAGUGCAAGGGGGGCCGAUGCCAGCUGGUCCCUCCACCACCCAGGAAGAAACGGAGGCCCCACAAUGAGCUUCACCGGUUUUGGAGGGGCGUGUGCAGAACGAAGGGCUGCGGAGGGACUGGGGGGCAGCGGCAGAGCUGACAGGGGCUCCCGAAUCCUUCACGUGGCGGCAGGUGGCUGGACCUGCACAGGAAGUCCAGAAACAAAAUCUCCAGCGAGCUGCCGCAUCUCACACAGCCUCCCUCCAGGCCCUGCAGCUCCCGAGGCCACCACCAGGUGGGAGCCUUGAGCAGCAUUCCUUCCCCUCCCCAGCCGGCCUCCCUCCUCCCUCCUCAUUCCUCCACCAGCCCCCUUCCCUGCCUGCUUUUCCUCUUCCUUCAUUUCUCCUCCUACCAAACCAGAUCCUGGGGUUUCUACUGCUCUAUUCCACGGAAGCCAGUGGCAGAUGAAAGCACCCUGUCAAUGGGAUCUGCUGCUGGUGGGACCCCCGGGAUCUGGACACUGCGUUCAGUCACCGUGAGUUCUCUGUGGUCCUAGCACCUGGCACCCAGUAAAUGUUCCGAAAAUGUCUGUUGCGUCGGCCUGAACCAAACUGGAUUAAUAAAUCAACAAUCAAUAACCAAUCAAUAAAGCCAAGGAGAUGAAACACGAGAAACGUGUGUUCUGCUGGUGGCCUCAGAGACCGCAGGGCCAACCUGACCGACGCGCAGG